GUGGGGGAUAUUGCACAAUGGAGGAAACUCUGAUGCAGCAACGCCGCGUGAGGGAAGAAGGUUUUCGGAUUGUAAACCUCUGUUUUUAGUGACGAAACAAAUGACGGUAGCUAAAGAGGAAGCCACGGCUAACUACGUGCCAGCAGCCGCGGUAAUACGUAGGUGGCAAGCGUUGUCCGGAUUUACUGGGUGUAAAGGGUGCGCAGGCGGGAUUGCAAGUUGGAUGUGAAAUACCGGGGCUUAACCCCGGAACUGCAUCCAAAACUGUAGUUCUUGAGUGGAGCAGAGGUAAGCGGAAUUCCGAGUGUAGCGGUGAAAUGCGUAGAUAUUCGGAGGAACACCAGUGGCGAAGGCGGCUUACUGGGCUCUAACUGACGCUGAGGCACGAAAGUGUGGGUAGCAAACAGGAUUAGAAACCCUAGUAGUCC
rnacentral:rRNA from 1 species